rnacentral:rRNA from 1 species
AUUGAACGCUGGCGGCAGGCUUAACACAUGCAAGUCGAACGAGUGGCGGACGGGUGAGUAAUGUCUGGGAAACUGCCUGAUGGAGGGGGAUAACUACUGGAAACGGUAGCUAAUACCGCAUACAAUCAGAUGAGCCUAGGUGGGAUUAGCUAGUUGGUGGGGUAAAUGCUAACCAAGGCGACGAUCCGUAGCUGGUCUGAGAGGAUGACCAGCCACACUGGAAAUGAGACACGGUCCAGACUCCUACGGGAGGCAGCAGUGGGGAAUAUUGGACAAUGGGCGAAAGCCUGAUCCAGCCAUGCCGCGUGUGUGAAGAAGGUCUUCGGAUUGUAAAGCACUUUAAGCGGGGAGGCGUUACCCACAGAAUAAGCACCGGCUAACUCCGUGCCAGCAGCCGCGGUAAUAC